rnacentral:piRNA from 1 species
UGCUUAAGAAGUUUGGUAUGUUGGUUGGU